rnacentral:lncRNA from 1 species
AAACAGUAGAUGGACAUAACCAAACAAGCCACACAUCAAGCAUCAUCAUCACCGUUCUAUAGAACACAAGAAUACUGCCUGCUGCCCUACUGGGAAGCACUCUCCUUUUCUUUCUCCUUCUCUUCUUCAGUCUUGGGGUGGUACCCAGGUAACUUCUCCUUGAUCUUCUCGAGUAGUCCCUUCUUCUCCUUGGCAUCUCCUUCAUGGGAAACUGCAGCUUCAGGGGAAACAUGUUCAGGAGCUGGAGGAGGGACCUCGUCAGCUUUCUUAUGUCCUGGCAAUUUCUCCUUGAUUUUGUCAAGGAAACCCUUCUUAUCCUCUGGUUCAUGGGGUGUCUCUGUAUGGACUACCUCGACAGGAACACUAGUAUCCUCGUGUUCCUUCUCCUCUCCUUUCUCUCCUGAUAUCUUCAUCUUCUCUUUCAAUGACCUCUUUUCCUUCUUCUUCUUCUUUUUCUCUUCAUCGUCACCUUCCUCCUCGUCGCUAGACUGCAUUUUUUAACACAUCAAAAAAUCUGUCAAUCUCAAGAAACACUUAACGGAAAAGACAACAAACAAAAUAAAUAAUGAGAUCGAUCCAUGGAUCGAGUUAGAAACUUACAGAGCUGGAAGAACUGCUGCCUGAUCGAUGGAGUUUCUCAAAGAGAGUAGGUUUCUUCUCCUCUUCCUCUUUUUUCUUGUGCUCUUCCUCUACUUUAGUCUCGGGUUCAGAAACCUGAAGUUUCUCUUCAAAUUCAGUACCAAUCACCUCCUCUUGAGGCUUCUCUUCUUCUUUCUUCCCCAGGAAAUCAAACAACCCGCGAUCCUUGGUCUCAACAGCACCACUCUCUUCACCAACUUUGGUCUCAUACUCAUGGCUCUUGUUUUCCUCAGCCAUACUGAUCAAAAUCACAAUAUGAACCUAAUCAAGAAAAGAUCAAAAUCACAACAGAGUAAUUAAAAUGAGUAAGCUUCUGCUUCGAGUGAUUUGCGCUUGUAACUGAU